ensembl:snRNA U4 U4 spliceosomal RNA
AGCUUUGCACAGUGGCAGUAUCGUAACCAUUGAGGUUUAUCUGAGGCGUGAUUAUUGCUAGGAAAAAUAAAAAGAGGAAAAGAGGUUCUUUUUUAUUUUCUUUGAUUCAUCUCUCGCAGCCUGAAAUAGAUAUCUUUGAUGACUUUUCUCAUUUGGAAAUAAGAGUCACACACAAAG